rnacentral:rRNA from 1 species
UGGGGAAUAUUGCACAAUGGGCGCAAGCCUGAUGCAGCGACGCCGCGUGGGGGAUGACGGCCUUCGGGUUGUAAACUCCUUUCGCCAGGGACGAAGCGUUUUGUGACGGUACCUGGAGAAGAAGCACCGGCUAACUACGUGCCAGCAGCCGCGGUAAUACGUAGGGUGCAAGCGUUGUCCGGAAUUACUGGGCGUAAAGGGCUCGUAGGUGGUUUGUCACGUCGUCUGUGAAAUUCCACAGCUUAACUGUGGGCGUGCAGGCGAUACGGGCUGACUUGAGUACUGUAGGGGUAACUGGAAUUCCUGGUGUAGCGGUGAAAUGCGCAGAUAUCAGGAGGAACACCGAUGGCGAAGGCAGGUUACUGGGCAGUUACUGACGCUGAGGAGCGAAAGCAUGGGUAGCAAACAGGAUUAGAUACCCUGGUAGUCCAUGCCGUAAACGGUGGGCGCUAGGUGUAGGGGCCUUUUGGGGUUUCUGUGCCGUAGCUAACGCAUUAAGCGCCCCGCCUGGGGAGUACGGCCGCAAGGCUA